UACGGGGGGGGUAAGCGUUGUUCGGAAUUACUGGGCGUAAAGGGCUUGUAGGCGGCCAACUAAGUCGGACGUGAAAUCCCUCAGCUUAACUGGGGAACUGCGUCCGAUACUGGAUGGCUUGGAUUUGGGAGAGGGAUGCGGAAUUCCAGGUGUAGCGGUGAAAUGCGUAGAUAUCUGGAGGAACACCGGUGGCGAAGGCGGCGUCCUGGACCAACACUGACACUGAGGAGCGAAAGCCAGGGGAGCAAACGGG
rnacentral:rRNA from 1 species